rnacentral:sRNA from 18 species
CUACUGGGCAACGAAACUCCUCCCAGGGAGCCUGAUCGAAGGCGGCACUCCUCCUCCCAACAGCUAUUCGCGUACUUUACCAGGCUGCCGCACCUCCUCCCGCGGCAGGCUUAUUUU